rnacentral:rRNA from 1 species
AUGGACGCCACCGAGGAGGCCUGCGUGAGAUACACUAAUCUAUACUGGCUAGAUCUUGUGAGCUCCAAAUCGGCGCGUGGCAACGAGGAGAGGAUCUUCGAGCGUGGCCUGGUGGUCCCGCUUAAAGCGGCCGACGCCGACUCGUUCAUGACGCUCGGCAUCAACGGCGCACUGGUGAGCAUGAAGGGCCGUGACAUGACAAUCGUCGACAGGAGCUGCACGUACGUCGGCCAGAUGGUCGUGUCGGGGUCGGACGUCGGCGGCCAGAUGGGCGUCGUCGUCGGCGUCUCCACGACGCUUGAUCUCGUCCAGCUCAACGUCCACGGCGAAGCAACAAAGACCAUCCGUGGCGUGCGGCCGUCUGGCCUCCGGCGCGUUAGGGCUCUCAGCCUCGGCGACUACGUCGUGUCCGGGCAGUGGCUGGGCCGGGUGGUCCAGGUGUUCCUGGACGUCGACGUGGUGUUCGACGACGGUGCCGUCUGCAAGGUCACCGAUGCGGAACCCAAGAAGCUACGAGCGGCCAACACGGUGGCUACUUUCCGCCCGCAGAUGAACUGCGCCUUCUACUCCGGUGAGCAAGUCACCGGUGACCGUGGCGACCCCUCGGCCGUCUUCAGAGAGUCGCAAUGGCUAGAUGGCAGCUGGAAGCCGGAGCACGAAGUGGGCUCGGUCUCCAGGGUGGAGAUGGUCGGCGUCCUUGUCUACUGGGUCGCGUCGGCGCACGGCGGCACCGACGAGCAAGUCCUCGAGAUGUCUGCUCCUUCGGCCUACCAAAAUCCCAACGACCUGACUUUCUUCUGCUCCUCGUCCGAUUGCACCUGGGGGCUGGGCGACCGCUGCUUUCUCAUUACAAAAACCGAUGACGAUACUUCCGAUCAUCACCACCAGGACGAGUCAUUGCAUGCACUACCCACCAUGACCGUCUCCAGCACUCAUACCAUCGUCGACGUGCUGUGGCAGGACGGCACACGGCAGCAUAGGGCACCGUCGAUCUCACUCAACCCCUCCGAGUGCACGAAUGAGCACGAGUUUUUUCCUGGGCAGUACGUGGUUGACAACGCCCCUGUCGAUGUCACAUUUGCUGUAGUUGGAGAUGACGACGUCGUGAGUGCCACAGACGAUGCAUCGACGCGGCGCGUCGGGGUCGUGAGGAGCCUGAAUUCCAAUGAUCACACGGUGCAGGUGUCGUGGAUCAAGGCUAACAAUGAGGCCGGCAACCUAAGCUUGGAGGUCGAGUGCGAUAGCACUACUGCAAGUGCAUAUGAUCUGAGCAGGGAUCCUGAUCACUCCGUUUUCUAUGGGGACAUCGUCGUUCGUCUGCUAUCAAGCGUCGCUGGAAGUAGACCAGCAGUGGUAGUGCAGCAACCACAGGCCCCCGCCGAUCUUUCAUGGGUUGGACAAGUUGUUAACCUCUGUGUCGACGGCCACGUCCAAGUCAAGUGGGGUGAUGGCACCACGUCAAUGGUAUUACCCCAUGAGAUCAGUGUUGUCAACAAGGAUAACUACACUCAACUGCAGGCUGAGAUGGACAACUGGGCGGAGGAGGACGCCAUCGUCGAUGAUCCUCAAGAAUUGGGUGCUGCCAACGUGCACAAUGAUCCAACAGAUACUACAAGUGUCGAAGGCGAUGACGGUUCUGUGGAUGAACUAGAUGGCCAUGCAGCCGUGAUCAUGCAGAAUUUGGCGCAGGCAUCUGCGCGUAGCCACGAAGACCCUAGCGUUGGUGGCGCUGCGACAGAGUACAACAUUGCUGAUCUCGCAGCAAGAAGUGAUGCCAGUGUCGAUGCUAGUAACAGCGACACUGUGGAGGAUGUGGUGAAGGUCACAGAUGCCACUGGUGAUGACGAUCAUCGUCCAUUUAACUUGCCACAUUUCGAUGUAGUGCAGAGCCCUCCGGACGAUCACCAUUACCUUGACACCACGGACCAGGGCAGCACCGGCAAAAAGAGAUGGGUCAAGACGGUGCAAAAAGAGUGGAAAAUAUUGGAGAAUAGCUUACCAGAUGGUAUCUACGUUCGGGCAUUCGAGGGACGCAUGGACCUACUCCGGGUGGUAAUGGUGGGUGCGAGCGGGACACCGUACCAGGACGGGCUCUUCUUCUUCGACAUGCAGCUGCCGCCGUCCUACCCGGCCGUGCCGCCGCAGGUCUACUACCACUCGUUCGGCCUACACCUCAAUCCAAACCUCUAUCCCAGCGGUACGGUGUGCCUCAGCCUGCUCAACACCUUCGACGGAGAGGGCACGGAGGUCUGGUCACCGGGGACGUCAAGCCUGCUCCAGGUCGUCGUCUCCCUUCAAGCGCUUGUCCUCAACGACCAACCCUACUAUAACGAGGCCAGCCUUGAGGCGCUCAUCGAUACGCCGGAGGGCCACCGCAACGCGUUGCCCUACUGCGAGAACGCCUUCCUGCUCAGCUCGCGGACCAUGCUACACCUGGUGCGCCGACCGCCCCAGGGGUUCGAGGGGUUCGUGAAGGACCACUUCCGCCGGCGGGGGAGGUACGUGCUCAGGAUGUGUGAGGCAUACCUGAAAGGAUGUGUGCCUGUUGAAGAGGGGGGCAUGGAACUACCCUGCUCGGCCGGCUUCAACAUCGCGCUUGCCAACGUGGUGCCAAGGCUCAUGGCUGCCUUCACAAAAGUUGGCGACGAAGGGUCUGACCUCUCCAGCACAACCACCCAAUAG